UAAGUCAUCUUUUCCAAGGGCAAUACUCGAAUAAAAUUCCUUAACCAAGGUAAGACUGAAGUAGCUAUCUCCAAAGGUGAUUAACCCCUUUAUUUUCAAUUCAUUAAAAUAUCCAGACAAAGCAGAUUUAACCACAAGAGCCUCAUCAAAACAAAGCCAAUUACAAAAAAAAAAAAAACUUCUCUCAAGAUAUAGUUGCAUUUUUAAUCUUCUUAAAUUUAUCGGCAUGAGACUUAUUCCUAAAUCGAGAGGUUUGAGGAUUACCUAUCCGUAUAGAAAUUCCUUUAGUUACGAGUUCCUUUGUUUUUGACCCCUUUUGUUUCAUACUUGAGCUAUUCUUUUAAGUUAGAAAAGUUGGAUUUUCCUUAACAGUUCCUUUUCCCUUUCUUUUGUCAAAGACCUUGCUUGUCAAUGAGAAUUUUAGCAUGGAUUUCUUGAAUUUUGGGAGUUAGGGUUUCUUUGGUACUUUAGGAGUAGAUAGAGGCGGAGUGUGGAAAUAGCAUUUAGGUUUUAGAUCUUAAAUUUAGAGAGAGAAUGCUAAUUUCUGAGAGAAUGGAGGGACUUUGAUCGUGGGUAAUAACUGGUUAACCCAUGUUUUAAGUGGUUGGUUCUCGUUCCCUCUCCUCUUCAUUUUUUUUUGAAGUUUCAAACUUAACGUCUAAUG
rnacentral:lncRNA from 1 species